CAGCCGCCGCGGGAAUACGAAGGUCCCGAGCGUUGUUCGGAAUCACUGGGCGUAAAGGGAGCGUAGGCGGCGUGGUAAGUCAGAUGUGAAAUCCCGGGGCUCAACCCCGGAACUGCAUCCGAUACUGCCAUGCUAGAGGAUUGGAGAGGUAGCUGGAAUUCUUGGUGUAGCAGUGAAAUGCGUGGAGAUCAAGAGGAACACUCGUGGCGAAAGCGAGCUACUGGACAAUAACUGACGCUGAGGCUCGAAGGCCAGGGUAGCGAAAGGGAUUAGAUACCCCCGUAGUCCCUGUCUCUUAUAC
rnacentral:rRNA from 1 species